rnacentral:lncRNA from 1 species
GAAAAGGUGAGGCAGCUAGUACCAACACUUUCACUCCCUGCCUUCAUUCUCGUCUCUUCACAUCAAAAUAAAAGCAAUGAAGUGUAGUAUAAGAUUUGAUAAUACAAAAUACAGAGUAGGAAUAUUAGUUUCAGUAUAGCUCAUUAUGUAGUAACAUCAGUACUCAAACAGUACUCAUAAACUAUAAGGACACAAACACAAUCAAAUAUGAGCCAUAAAUUUAGUUUGAAAGAAUAACUACAUGAGCAAGCUUAUUUAUAAACUUACAGGUAUGUUAGAGUGGUAAUUCUUUCUCUAUAGGAAUUUCCCCUGACAAAAAAUGCCUUAAAUUUAAACAAGUUAGUAGUGAGUUCAAUAUAGAUGACAAGUUGAAAUCAAUCACACCAAAUCCUACUCCUAUAGAGAUAAAGACAGUCACAGACCCGUCCAAAGAUAGGAAGACAUACAUGAAUUCAUCCUAUAGGAUAAAAGGAUCUUUCAUUUAGAAUUUUGAAGACUUCCUCCUCAUUUGUAGCUUGACACUGAUUCAGUUAUCAAGUUAGCAACAAAACAAUUAAUAAUUAAAUUGUGCCCUCUUGAAAUAUGUACCAAAAUAUUUUAAAGUUGUAGGUGAGAAGAAUGUAAGGCUAAGAUCCAGAUACUAACCAAGUUAGAAGCAGAUUAUUCCUUUGGUAUAAUCAGAGUAGUUUCAUAGGCUGAGUCAUAU